GACGAACGCUGGCGGCGUGCUUAACACAUGCAAGUCGUACGAUGACCCGGCUCUUCGGCGCUGGUGAUUAGUGGCGAACGGGUGAGUAACACGUGGGUGACCUGCCCUGCACUCUGGGAUAAGCCCGGGAAACUGGGUCUAAUACUGGAUACGACCAGCGGCCGCAUGGUCUGCUGGUGGAAAGCUCUUCGGGGGGGUGUGGGAUGGGCCCGCGGCCUAUGAGCUUGUUGGUGGGGUGAUGGCCUACGAAGGCGACGACGGGUAGCCGGCCUGGGUGGGCGGCCCGGCACACUGGGACUGCGACACGGCCCAGACGACUACGGGAGGCAGCAGUGGGGAAGCAGGCGCGGUGAGCGAAAGCCUAAUGCAGCGAGGCCGCGUGAGGGAUGACGGCCUUCGGGUUGUAGACCUCUUUCGGCAGGGAACUAGCCUGAGGGUUUUCGUCUGAGUGACGGUACCUGCAGAAGAAGCACCGGCUAACUACGUG
rnacentral:rRNA from 1 species